rnacentral:lncRNA from 1 species
UUUUUCUCCUAGAACCAAAGCAGCGUCACACCAGAUGUUCUGAAGAAAGCAAUUCAAUUCCAGAUGAAACUGAGACAAAGGCCUACUGUUUUCAUUUUUACUGUGCAGGUAAACAGUUUUGCAUACAAAUCAGAGAUGAUGAUCUCUUGCUUCCAAGAAGAAAGUGACUGGCAAGAGACAGAAGGAAUGAGAACAAGAGCCGGAGAAGGGGAGCUCUAGAGGAGAAUGUGGAUGAACCCAGCAUCUUUGUAGCGGUAGAUGCUAGAUGCUUUCAGAAAAGCUUUGACUGUGGGACUCCAUGAAAUUAAUUUUGUUGGGAGACUUCACAGGAAUGCAGAAUUAGACUUGUCAUCUUGCUUCUCUAAGGUCAUAUAGAUGACUAAUAUCACACCUUAAAACACAUCAUUUUUAUUUUCUAAUUAAGAAAAAACACCUUGGUUAAUUGCUUAUUUUCAGGUAUAACAUAUAGUCAGUAACGCUAAUUGCUGCAUCUGUUUAUGUGAAGGUGACAUUAGUAACAGGAAGGUGUAGAAAUAAAAGAAAAAAUGAUAAAGGAAACUCA